rnacentral:rRNA from 1 species
UCGGGAAUAUUGCGCAAUGGAGGAAACUCUGACGCAGUGACGCCGCGUGCAGGAAGAAGGUUUUCGGAUUGUAAACUGCUUUAGACAGGGAAGAAAAAAUGACAGUACCUGUAGAAUAAGCUCCGGCUAACUACGUGCCAGCAGCCGCGGUAAUACGUAGGGAGCAAGCGUUAUCCGGAUUUAUUGGGUGUAAAGGGUGCGUAGACGGAGAGGCAAGUUAGUUGUGAAAUCCCUCGGCUUAACUGAGGAACUGCAACUAAAACUACUUCCCCUUGAGUGCUGGAGAGGAAAGUGGAAUUCCUAGUGUAGCGGUGAAACUGCGUAGAUAUUAGGAGGAACACCAGUGGCGAAGGCGACUUUCUGGACAGUAACUGACGUUGAGGCACGAAAGUGUGGGGAGCAAACAGGAUUAGAUACC